rnacentral:rRNA from 1 species
AUGAACGCUGGCGGCGUGCCUAAUCCAUGCAAGUCGAGCGAACGGACGAGAAGCUUGCUUCUCUGGUGUUAGCGGCGGACGGGUGAGUAACACGUGGAUAACCUACCUAUAAGUCUGGGAUAACUUCGGGAAACCGGAGCUAAUACCGGAUGAUAUUUUGAACCGCAUGGUUCAAAAGUGAAAGACGGUCUUGCUGUCACUUAUAGAUGGAUCCGCGCUGCAUUAGCUAGUUGGUAAGGUAACGGCUUACCAAGGCAACGAUGCAUAGCCGACCUGAGAGGGUGAUCGGCCACACUGGAACUGAGACACGGUCCAGACUCCUACGGGAGGCAGCAGUAGGGAAUCUUCCGCAAUGGGCGAAAGCCUGACGGAGCAACGCCGCGUGAGUGAUGAAGGUCUUCGGAUCGUAAAACUCUGUUAUUAGGGAAGAACAUAUGUGUAAGUAACUGUGCACAUCUUGACGGUACCUAAUCAGAAAGCCACGGCUAACUACGUG